CGACAGAUUUACAUUUUCAACUCCAUACUCGCCGGAGCCAAAAGGCCCUUAACUUUUGAGUUGUUGAUAAAUUAGGUGAACGCUUGAAGUAAAGUUUCAGCCAGUGUUCGCUACAUCUGUAAACUCUAUACCUGUAUUACAGGUAAAUACAUGUCCCAAAACAUAUGUGGGCCACUUCUGGCAAUAACAUGGCACCACCCUCCAGCACUUGCAAACUGUAAGUGAGCUAAAAGUGGCCCUCAUAUUAAAAAUGAUAAUAGCUCACAUUCUAAAGUCUUCAAGAAUGUAUUAAUGUGCAAAUAAAUAAAAUAAAAAUGUCUAAAUAAUUUGCAAUAAAAAUUAAUAAUACUAGUGUAACUAAAUAUAACAUUAUCCAGAUAAUAAUAAUAUUAAUAUAGUAACAAUAGUAAUAAUAAUAAUAGAAAUAAUAAUAACAAUAAUGAUAAUAAUAAUAAUAAUACGCAAAUAUGUGUGAUAUUUUGUCAUUGAAAUAUAUUUUUAAAAUUAUCUCAAUGUAAUAAUAGCAACAUCAGAUUGCCAUAUUAUCCAUUCAAUUCCUGAGUUUAGAAUUUUAGAAUAGUCUGUAUGAGGCAAUAGUUUAUGGAACAUUUGUUGUCCUGUUUAUCAUUUUAUUUGCACUGCAGUUCCACCUUACUGCCUGAAAUAUAAUUAAAAAGGAGCUACACUUUCACUGGACGUACAGCGCAGAUAGGCUAAAAUUUCUUUACAACCGCGCUGAUUGGCUGAGAGGACUUUCACUCAUCAGUGAGGCUCCGCCUACACACUGUUUAUAUAAGGUUAACUAAUGACCAACGCUGAAGAAAGACUGUCAGGAACACUUCAGAACACACACUUGUGAUCACAACUUUAGGACUCCUGGGCGGUUUUGAUGUGAAAGACACAGUUUGGAGAGUCAUGAGAUGCACAAUGACCAACUCAUUAGCAAAACAACUUAACUGGAGGGGCACAAGUGGUGCUGUAAGCCACAGCUCAAGAAAUUGAGAUGUGGAUAGAGAAUUGGCUACACCUGUCCAUGGACUGUGAGGGAGGAAUGCGAGAAAGACAGGAGCGAAGAAGAGCUACUGAAGAACCACUGCUUCAUCAUUUGGACAAUUUUUAGUUGUUCCCCACUAAAAGCCUUUACACAUUGGACACGUUAGGCUGACACUGCAGUUUGUACAGUUUUUGUUUGGACAAACUAGUUCUUGUUUUCAUAAUGACAGAAUGCACGAAAAGGGUGAUUUUAAUUUGACUGAUUCAUUCAUGUUCACAUG